rnacentral:snoRNA from 1 species
AGUCGAUGAUGUAUGAUUUGUCCGUACCAUCCGAAGAUUUCUUCUAUUAUGAGUAAUCAAAUCUCCUUAUCUGAGGCUU